rnacentral:rRNA from 1 species
AUUGAACGCUGGCGGCAUGCCUUACACAUGCAAGUCGAACGGUAACAGGUUAAGCUGACGAGUGGCGAACGGGUGAGUAAUAUAUCGGAACGUACCCAGUCGUGGGGGAUAACGCAGCGAAAGCUGUGCUAAUACCGCAUACGAUCUUUGGAUGAAAGCGGGGGAUCGCAAGACCUCGCGCGAUUGGAGCGGCCGAUAUCAGAUUAGCUAGUUGGUGGGGUAAAGGCCCACCAAGGCGACGAUCUGUAGCUGGUCUGAGAGGACGACCAGCCACACUGGAACUGAGACACGGUCCAGACUCCUACGGGAGGCAGCAGUGGGGAAUUUUGGACAAUGGGCGGAAGCCUGAACCAGCCAUCCCGCGUGAAGGAAGACAGCCUUACGGGUUGUAAACUUCUUUUCUGUCAGAAGAAUAAGCUUGUCGAGACGAGUGAUGCCGGUAUGACAGGAAUAAGCAUCGGCUAACUCCGUGCCAGCAGCCGCGGUAAA